rnacentral:rRNA from 1 species
UACGUAGGGUGCAAACGUUGUUCGGAAUUACUGGGCGUAAAGCGCGCGUAGGCGGCUCGGCAAGUCGGAUGUGAAAGCCCUGGGCUCAACCUAGGAAGUGCAUUCGAAACUUCGAAGCUGGAGUCCUGGAGAGGAAGGCGGAAUUCUCGGUGUAGAGGUGAAAUUCGUAGAUAUCGAGAGGAACACCGGUGGCGAAGGCGGCCUUCUGGACAGUGACUGACGCUGAGACGCGAAAGCGUGGGGAGCAAACAGG